GGGGAAGUAGCUCAGAUUGGUUAGAGUACUGGCCUGUCACGCCAGAGGCCGCGGGUUCGAACCCCGUCUUCCCCG
rfam:Bacterium TMED88 isolate TMED88 MHASMcontig_369914, whole genome shotgun sequence.